AUUGAACGCUGGCGGCAGGCUUAACACAUGCAAGUCGAGCGGGGGAAGGUAGCUUGCUACCGGACCUAGCGGCGGACGGGCGAGUAAUGCUUAGGAAUCUGCCUAUUAGUGGGGGACAACAUCUCGAAAGGGAUGCUAAUACCGCAUACGUCCUACGGGAGAAAGCAGGGGAUCUUCGGACCUUGCGCUAAUCGAUGAGCCUAAGUCGGAUUAGCUAGUUGGUGGGGUAAAGGCCUACCAAGGCGACGAUCUGUAGCGGGUCUGAGAGGAUGAUCCGCCACACUGGGACUGAGACACGGCCCAGACUCCUACGGGAGGCAGCAGUGGGGAAUAUUGGACAAUGGGGGGAACCCUGAUCCAGCCAUGCCGCGUGUGUGAAGAAGGCCUUAUGGUUGUAAAGCACUUUAAGCGAGGAGGAGGCUACUUUAGUUAAUACCUGGAGAUAGUGGACGUUACUCGCAGAAUAAGCACCGGCUAACUCUGUGCCAGCAGCCGCCGUAA
rnacentral:rRNA from 1 species